UCUUGAUUGGUCUAGUGGUCAGGAUACCUGCUUGUCAUUUGACAAUGAUUGCCUAGUCUUAAGUUAGUUUAGGUGUCUUAGUCAAUAACAAGCCCGCAGGUGGCCGGGGUUCGAUUCCCCGAUCGAGAG